rnacentral:lncRNA from 1 species
CCCUAAAGUGCCUGUACACCAAUGCACAGAGCAUGGGAAAUAAACAGGAUGAGCUCAAGAUCUGUGUUCGGUUGCAGGGCCACGAUCUCAUUGCGAUCACUGAGAUGUGGUGGGACGGGAACGCAGUCAUGGAGGACUAUAUCCUCUUUAAGAAAGACAGACUGGGGAAGCGAGGGGGUGGGGUUGCCCUUUAUGUGAGGGAGCAAUUAGAGUGUACCCAGCUCCAGCUGGGGGAGGGUGAAGGACAAGUGGAGAGUUUGUGGGUAAGAAUUAAGGUGUGGGCAGGUAUGGGAGACAUGGUGGUAGGGGUCUACUACAGGUCACCAGAUCAGGAGGAGGAAGUCAAUGAAGCCUUCUACGAGCAGCUGCUAGUAGCCUCACGAUCACAAACGUUGGUCCUCAUGGGGGACUUCAAUGACCCAGACAUCUGCUGGGUAAGCAAUUCAGCCAGGCAUGAGCAGUCCAAACGGUUCCUACAAUGCGUUGAGGACAAUUUUCUGACGCAGGUGGUGGAGGAGCCGACAAGGUGGCGGGUGCUCCUGGCCCUCAUUCUUACCAACAGGGAUGGCCUUCAUAGGGAUGUGAAGGUUGGGGGCAGCUUGGGAUGCAGCGACCAUGAGAUGGUGGAGUUCCAGAUGGAACUAGGCAAAGGAAGUAAGGCUAAAAGCAGGAUUGCUACCCUGGACUUCCGAAGAGCCAACUUCAACUUCUUCCAGGAUCUGCUUGGGAGUAUCUCAUGGGAUAGGUUGCUAGAAGGCAAGGGUGCUUGUGAGCGCUGGGCUACAUUUAAGCAGCACUUCUUCCAAGCUCAGGGUCGGUGCAUCCCGAAGAACAGGAAAUCGGGGAAGGGGGUCAGGAAACCUGAGAGGAUGAGCAAGGAGCUCAUCAAUAAGAUUAAAAGGAAGAGGAUGGUCUAUGAAAUGUGGAAAAAGGGCCUGUCAUCUUGGGAGGAGUAUAGAUGUGUUGUCAGGGCCUGCAGGGAUGCGACAAGGAAGGCUAAAGCCCACCUAGAGAUGAGGCUUGCGAAAGAGAUAAAGGAUAAUAAGAAGAGUUUCUUUAAGUAUGUAAACAGUAAAAGGAAGACUAGGGGUAAUGUGGGUCCCUUGCUGAAUGAGGGGGGUGUCCUGGUCACGGGAGACACUGAGAAGGCAGAGAUACGGAAUGCUUUCUUUGCUUCAGUCUUUGCUUCAAGGACACUCCCCUGGGAAUCCUCACCCCUGGCAAUAGGACAAAGGGACUAGGAAAUGGAGGACUCCCCUGAGGGGGGAGGUGGCAGUCCUAAUAGGGGACUGCGGGGAGGGUUCAGGAGCAUCUGAGUGGGCUCAACACACACAAAUCCAUGGGUCCCGAUGGGAUGCAUCCACGUGUGCUAAGGGAGCUGGCAGAUGUGAUUGCUGAACUGCUCUCUACCAUCUUUGAAAGGUCCUGGAGAACAGGAGAGGUGCCUGAAGACUGGAGGAUAGCCAAUGUCACUCUGAUCUUCAAGAAGGGCAAGAAGGUGGAUCCAGGAAACUACAGGCCAGUCAGUCUCACCUCUGUCCCUGGAAAGGUAUUGGAACAGCUUGUUCUGG